rnacentral:rRNA from 1 species
GGAAUAUUGCACAAUGGGCGAAAGCCUGAUGCAGCAACGCCGCGUGAAGGAAGAAGGCCUUCGGGUCGUAAACUUCUGUCCUUGGGGAAGAAGAACUGACGGUACCCAAGGAGGAAGCCCCGGCUAACUACGUGCCAGCAGCCGCGGUAAUACGGAGGGUGCGAGCGUUAAUCGGAAUCACUGGGCGUAAAGCGCGCGUAGGCGGCUUUUCAAGUCAGGGGUGAAAUCCCACGGCCCAACCGUGGAACUGCCUUUGAAACUGUAGAGCUUGAGUGUCGGAGAGGGUGGCGGAAUUCCAGGUGUAGGAGUGAAAUCCGUAGAUAUCUGGAGGAACACCGGUGGCGAAGGCGGCCACCUGGACGACAACUGACGCUGAGGUGCGAAAGCGUGGGUAGCAAACAG